UCAUAAUUUAAUAUGCACCUUCAUAUAUCCUCGAUAAUACGGUUCGAAAGUCUCUACCAGGUCACCUUAAAUGACUUGACUAUGAAGGCAGGUCAUUCUAUA
rnacentral:ncRNA from 17 species